AAUUCAAAAGUUUCUCGAAGAUGCUGUUGAAUCCAGUUCUGAAGGUCUGAUUGCCAAAACAUUAAUAAAGAAGCUACAUACGAGCCUUCAAAAUGGUCUUACAUUUUGUUGAAAUUGAAAAAAGAUUACAUGGGCAGCAUUGGUGACUCAUUAGAUUUAGUACCUGUUACUGCAUUCCAUGGCCAUGGGAAACAUACAGAUGUAUUUGUUGCCUUUCCCCGUGCUUGUUAUGAUGAUAAGAGUGAAGAAUUUCAAAGCAUAUGCAAAAUAAGUAAGCAGUCUUUUCGGUUACAUAUUGGUAUCUGCACUUGAUGGAUUUCAAUGAAGCAUGAAGCUGUAUCUGAUGCUGUGCAGGCACUGGAUUUUCUGAAGUGAUGCUUGAAGAGUGUUUUAUAUAACAGUCUUCACAGUAAACUGAUUCCCCAAACCAAAGAUCUAAAAAUCCUUGUGUUGAUCAUCCAUUCAUUUGUCGUUCUCUCUCUGAAAGGUUUGGGAGGUGAAAGCUUCAGAUUUGACUAUUAGCUGUGUUCAAUGUGCUGCAAUUGGUGUUGACAAUUGAAGUCAUUUAUGUAGUUAUGUGAUACUUGUAUUUUGUUGACUGUUCAGAAAAUAUACAUUGCCAACUGCUAGUACAUUUCCACCCAUCUGAAUUCAUUGGCUCUCUUGAUUAAGAGCAUUGCUCUUUGGUUUCUAUGUCUAAUUUCCAUCUGGAAAGAUAAAAUUCCAGAGCAAGCCACAUCAUCUGAUCAGGUAAGCAAAGCCAGCUCCUUUUGGGCUGAUCGAUCAUAUUUUGUUAUGUUCAUUUUUCUGAACGUUGAUUUUGAUCCGGUAGCUGUUAUGUAUCGUGCUCAAAAUAUAGUGUUGCUAACAAUCAGGAUGA